rnacentral:lncRNA from 1 species
CAGUCUUGGUGAUGGUGACGGUGAUGGUGACGGUGAUGGUGACAGUGAUGGUGACGGUGAUGGUGACGGUGAUGGUGACGGUGAUGGUGACAGUGAUGGUGACGGUGAUGGUGACGGUGAUGGUGACGGUGAUGGUGACGGUGAUGGUGACGGUGACAGUCUUGGUGAUGGUGACGGUGAUGGUGACGGUGCUGGUGCCGGUGAUGGUGACGGUGAUGGUGACGGUGAUGGUGACGGUGCUGGUGCCGGUGAUGGUGACGGUGCUGGUGACGGUGAUGGUGACAGUGAUGGUGACGCUGUCCCCGUGUCCAGGUGUUGCUGGAGCUGCGGGCGCUGGCGGCGGUGCCGCGUCUCGGCUCUGGCCCCCCCCAGGGGGAGGUGAGCGGGAACCUGCGGCUGCUGCACGGGGUGAGACUGGGGGCACUGGG